CUCUCUCUAUCUCUCCUUCCUCCUAUCUCUCUCUCUCCUUCUAUCUCUCUCCUCUCUCUCUUUCCUUCCCUCUAUCUCCUUUUCUCUCACUCUCCUUCCCUCUCUCUCUCUCCUUCCCUCUCUCUCCUUCCCUCUCUCUAUCUCUCCUUAUCUCUCUCUCUCACUCUCCUUCCUUCCCUAUCUAUCUCUCCUUCCCUAUCUCUGUUUCUCUGUCC